rnacentral:lncRNA from 1 species
GAAUAUGAUUUUUUUUUUCUUAAUUGUUUUUCUUGAUUUUCAGAUUUAAAAAAAUAAAAAAUAAACAAUAAAAAUAUAAAUAAAUCUCUCUCUCUCUCUCCAAAUACCCAUCUUCUUCUUUCUCUUUCUGUAGAUGAACAAAAAAACACCUAGAACAAAUUGUUGAACACGUCAAUUCUUAAUGGAGAUGGAGAAAAGAGAAUGAGAAAUCAUAUCUAGGGUUAGUCUUCUCCAUCUAUUUUCAUCACUGUUAGGAUCGGUUUACAACACCACCCUCUUCUCAGUUCAUCUUCACCAUCUGUGGCUCGAUUUUCACUGUCACCAAAAAACCCACCCCAACCACACCCUCGAGUACCACGGUAUCAGAAGAUGAAAUAGAGGGCAUAUCGAAUAAGGGAGAAAGAAGAAAACAAAAUCAGAAGACGAAAUCAUGAAGACGAAAUCAAAUCGAGUUCGUGGGUUCUUGGGUUAUUCAUCUGAACACACACACACGGUGAUCUGAAGGCGAAUCGACGGAGGACAAAACCCUAAAUCGAAAUCCGCUUCUCUACCUUAUCUCUCCGACGAUAGUCUUCAGUCGUGAGCUCAUGUCUUCGAUCUCCUCCUUAGACAAGAAUGGAUUUGCACCAGCGAAGUCUGAAAACCUUCUUCAGAUCGACGGAUCUGAAACCCCUCCUCCCCUUCAUAUCUAGUCAUCCAACUUUCUUUCAUCUUUUUUAUUCCUGUAAACAACCAUCGAAGCAUAAAUCCAAUUACACAAAAUCGAUUUCCAGAUAAAGAUGAGGGAUGAACACCCAAGAAUCGAUUUCUAGAAAUUUAGAACACGCACACACACACACAUACACUCUUAAAUUGAUUUCCAGGAACACAAAGACACAAUUUUAGUUUUUGAUUCGAAUUUAGGAAUCUGAUUCUUAAGUUACCCUUGAAAAAAAAAACUCACAAAUGAUUUCCAUUGAGUUAUGAUUUAGAAAAACCUAACUGAAAACGAGAUUGGAAAGAUACCCAAAUGAGAGAUUUUCUUCAAAAGGAGAGAGAGAGAGAUUUGGUUUUUAAUUUUUUUUUAAUCAGAAAAAUAUUUACAUAAAUAAAAAACUAAAAAAUGCUAAAAGCAAAGGCAAAAUCAUCUUUAUAAAAAGGUCCAAAGCAAAUCGGACUAAACUCGCAAUAAAAUGAAAAGUUUAGACCUAUGGUGCUAGUUCAAACAUUUUUAAACCAAAGUGACAAUUUUAAA